AAUGUCAAUUCGUCAGAAAUAAUUCGUCAUUCAUUUACAAAAUUUAAUCGAAAUUAGAUUAUUUAAAAUUGUGACUAGAUAAUAAAUUAUCCAAGCUGGCAUCAAGAAGGAUACUUUUCGUGGGCAUCCACAGCUUUUCUCCGACGUUGUCGUAUCGCGCUCCAUUUAAUAGGUUAGGAUUUAUGUUUCAAGUUUGAAAAAGUAUAACUUUUUAAAUCUUUUGUGUGCUUUUAGUACUUUAGUGCGUUCUGUGCUCGUAGACUAUUCACCCUAGUGUUUAAAAUUUGAGCCUCAACCGCCGUUGGCACUCCAACAUGACGUCACCGCAGUGCUCGCCGCGGCACCCGCCGGGGCGGAGCGAACCUCGCCCCCCGCCCGCCGCGCCCGCGAUCCUGAAGAGAUACGACGAUAUCGUCAAGUCGCAGGAGGAUAAGCGGGAAUACAGAGGCCUGGUGCUGUCAAACCACCUCAAAGUCCUGCUGGUCAGCGACCCGACCACAGACAAGUCGGCUGCGGCCCUGGACGUCAA